CCUACGGGAGGCUGCAGUGAGGAAUAUUGGUCAAUGGUCGGGAGACUGAACCAGCCAAGCCGCGUGAGGGAGGAAGGUACAGAGUAUCGUAAACCUCUUUUGUCAGGGAACAAAGACUGGGACGCGUCCCCGGAUGAGUGUACCUGAAGAAAAAGCAUCGGCUAACUCCGUGCCAGCAGCCGCGGUAAUACGGAGGAUGCGAGCGUUAUCCGGAUUUAUUGGGUUAAAAGGGUGCGCAGGCGGUCUGUUAAGUCAGCGGGCAAAGCCCGGGGCUCACCCCCGGCACGCCGUUGAAACUGGCAGUCUCGAGUUGGAGAGAAGUAUGCGGAAUGCGCGUUGUAGCGGUGAAAUGCAUAGAUAUCGCGCAGAACUCCGAUUGCGAAGGCAGCAUGCCGGCUCCACACUGACGCUGAGGCACGAAAGCGUGGGUAUCUAACAGGAUUAGAUACCCUGGUAGUC
rnacentral:rRNA from 1 species